GGCGUGGCAGCAGCUAUACAUGCAGUCGAGCGGACAGAAGGGAGCUUGCUCCCGGAUGUUAGCGGCGGACGGGUGAGUAACACGUGGGUAACCUGCCUGUAAGACUGGGAUAACUCCGGGAAACCGGAGCUAAUACCGGAUAGUUCCUUGAACCGCAUGGUUCAAGGAUGAAAGACGGUUUCGGCUGUCACUUACAGAUGGACCCGCGGCGCAUUAGCUAGUUGGUGGGGUAAUGGCUCACCAAGGCGACGAUGCGUAGCCGACCUGAGAGGGUGAUCGGCCACACUGGGACUGAGACACGGCCCAGACUCCUACGGGAGGCAGCAGUAGGGAAUCUUCCGCAAUGGACGAAAGUCUGACGGAGCAACGCCGCGUGAGUGAUGAAGGUUUUCGGAUCGUAAAGCUCUGUUGUUAGGGAAGAACAAGUGCGAGAGUAACUGCUCGCACCUUGACGGUACCUAACCAGAAAGCCACGGCUAACUACGUGCCAGCAGCCGCGGUAAUACGUAGGUGGCAAGCGUUGUCCGGAAUUAUUGGGCGUAAAGGGCUCGCAGGCGGUUUCUUAAGUCUGAUGUGAAAGCCCCCGGCUCAACCGGGGAGGGUCAUUGGAAACUGGGAAACUUGAGUGCAGAAGAGGAGAGUGGAAUUCCACGUGUAGCGGUGAAAUGCGUAGAGAUGUGGAGGAACACCAGUGGCGAAGGCGACUCUCUGGUCUGUAACUGACGCUGAGGAGCGAAAGCGUGGGGAGCGAACAGGAUUAGAUACCCUGGUAGUCCACGCCGUAAACGAUGAGUGCUAAG
rnacentral:rRNA from 1 species